GACGAACGCUGGCGGCGUGCCUAAUACAUGCAAGUCGUACGCUUCUUUUUCCACCGGAGCUUGCUCCACCGGAAAAAGAGGAGUGGCGAACGGGUGAGUAACACGUGGGUAACCUGCCCACCAGAAGGGGAUAACACUUGGAAACAGGUGCUAAUACCGUAUAACAAUCGAAACCGCAUGGUUUUGAUUUGAAAGGCGCUUUCGGGUGUCGCUGAUGGAUGGACCCGCGGUGCAUUAGCUAGUUGGUGAGGUAACGGCUCACCAAGGCCACGAUGCAUAGCCGACCUGAGAGGGUGAUCGGCCACAUUGGGACUGAGACACGGCCCAAACUCCUACGGGAGGCAGCAGUAGGGAAUCUUCGGCAAUGGACGAAAGUCUGACCGAGCAACGCAGCGUGAGUGAAGAAGGUUUUCGGAUCGUAAAACUCUGUUGUUAGAGAAGAACAAGGAUGAGAGUAACUGUUCAUCCCUUGACGGUAUCUAACCAGAAAGCCACGGCUAACUACGUGCCAGCAGCCGCGGUAA
rnacentral:rRNA from 1 species